rnacentral:rRNA from 1 species
CGGCGGACGGGUGAGUAACGCGUGGGCAACCUGCCUUACACAGGGGGAUAACAGUUAGAAAUGACUGCUAAUACCGCAUAAGGCCACGGUACUGCAUGGUACAGUGGUAAAAACUCCGGUGGUGUAAGAUGGGCCCGCGUCUGAUUAGGUAGUUGGCGGGGUAACGGCCCACCAAGCCGACGAUCAGUAGCCGACCUGAGAGGGUGACCGGCCACACUGGGACUGAGACACGGCCCAGACUCCUACGGAAGGCAGCAG